rnacentral:rRNA from 1 species
ACUAAUAAGAGUAUAUGGUGGAUGCCUUGACAUCAAAAGACGACGAAGGACGUAGCAAUCUGCGAUAAGCUUCGGGAAGGUGAUAAGCAACCUAUGAUCCGGAGAUUUCCGAAUGGGGAAACCCUUCCGUAUGAAGUGCGGAAACCAAAAGCUGAAUACAUAGGCUUUUAGGAGACAACCCAGCGAAUUGAAACAUCUUAGUAGCUGGAGGAAUAGAAAGAAUUAAUAUGCUAAUUAAAUUUAUUGAUAAUUUCGGUUGUCAUUAAUUUUAAUUAGUAUCUCGAUUCCCUGAGUAGCGGCGAGCGAAACGGGAAAAGCCUAAACUUUAGAUAUGAUAAUCUAUUUCAAACUUGAGACUUCGGUCGAUGGUGAGAGAUAGUGAAAUGGCUGCAAGCCUAAUGCUGUCUAGAGGGUUGUAAGAGGCUAUCAUUUGAGAACUUGCAGGUCUCAAACAAUCUUAUUGUUAUUUAAUCGAACAGUUUGGAAAAUCUGACCAAAGAGGGUGAAAGUCCCGUAUAUGAAAAAUAAUAAUAACUUGUUGAUAGUUUUCUUGAGUACUACGAAGCCGGUGAAACUUUGUAGGAAGCUAGCGUCACUAUGCGCUAAGGCUAAAUACUUUUGAUGAUCGAUAGUGAACUAGUACCGUGAGGGAAAGGUGAAAAGCACCCCGAGAGGGGGAUGAAAUAGUAUCUGAAACCAUAUACU